GACGAACGCUGGCGGCGUGCUUAACACAUGCAAGUCGAACGGAAAGGCCCUGCUUGCAGGGUACUCGAGUGGCGAACGGGUGAGUAACACGUGGGUGAUCUGCCCUGCACUUCGGGAUAAGCCUAGGAAACUGGGUCUAAUACCGGAUAGGAGCCAUUUUUAGUGUGAUGGUUGGAAAGUUUUUUCGGUGUAGGAUGAGCUCGCGGCCUAUCAGCUUGUUGGUGGGGUAAUGGCCUACCAAGGCGGCGACGGGUAGCCGGCCUGAGAGGGUGGACGGCCACAUUGGGACUGAGAUUCGGCCCAGACUCCUACGGGAGGCAGCAGUGGGGAAUAUUGCACAAUGGGCGCAAGCCUGAUGCAGCGACGCCGCGUGGGGGAUGACGGCCUUCGGGUUGUAAACUCCUUUCGCUAGGGACGAAGCUUUUUGUGACGGUACCUAGAUAAGAAGCACCGGCUAACUACGUG
rnacentral:rRNA from 1 species